UACAGAGGUCCCAAGCGUUGUUCGGAUUCACUGGGCGUAAAGGGUGCGUAGGUGGUUAGGUAAGUCCGAUGUGAAAUCUCCAGGCUCAACCUGGAAAUGGCAUUGGAUACUAUCUAGCUUGAGGAGUGGAGGGGGGACUGGAAUUCUCGGUGUAGCAGUGAAAUGCGUAGAUAUCGAGAGGAACACCAGUGGCGAAGGCGAGUCCCUGGACACUUCCUGACACUGAGGCACGAAAGCGAGGGGAGCAAACAGG
rnacentral:rRNA from 1 species